ACGACCAUAGGUAGUGGAAAACUCGGGGUCCCGUCUGCUCUCCCAGAGUCAAGCCAAUGAGAGGCAGAUUAGUAGUCAGGUGGGUGACCACUGGCGAACACCGGCUGUUGUAUGUU
rnacentral:rRNA from 1 species